CGCCUCCCAAUAACACUCGGACAUUUCACAGCCGCAUUUUCAUUAUCCUCCACUGCCCUUUAUCCGGUUUUCCGUCAUCCUAUUGCUCAACUUGUGUUCCUCCUGCCAACUCCUGCAAGGCUUCCUGAAAACCGCACUUCUCAACGAUGGGCUUCAUCCAUUCCAAGCUAAGGAACUCACUGGCGCCCACGAUUGUGGAGAAGCUCCUCGUGUUCAUCAAGACCAACCUGCCCGCCGCAUUCUACGACUACCCCGUGCCCGACGGCCCCCCCGAGUACGAUAGCAGCACCGACGAGGAAGCAG